rnacentral:rRNA from 1 species
GACGAACGCUGGCGGCGUGCUUAACACAUGCAAGUCGAACGGUGAAGCGCCUUCCUUUUUGGUGGGUGUGGAUGAGUGGCGAACGGGUGAGUAACACGUGAGUAACCUGCCCCCUUCUUCUGGAUAACCGCAUGAAAGUGUGGCUAAUACGGGAUAUUCUGGGUCUGUCGCAUGAUGGGUCUGGGAAAGAUAUUGUUUCGGUGGGGGAUGGGCUCGCGGCCUAUCAGCUUGUUGGUGGGGUGAUGGCCUACCAAGGCGGUGACGGGUAGCCGGCCUGAGAGGGUGGACGGUCACACUGGGACUGAGACACGGCCCAGACUCCUACGGGAGGCAGCAGUGGGGAAUAUUGCACAAUGGGCGCAAGCCUGAUGCAGCGACGCCGCGUGAGGGAUGGAGGCCUGCGGGUUGUGAACCUCUUUCGCCAGUGAGGCAGGCCUGCCUCGUUUGUGGGUGGGUUGACGGUAGCUGGAUAAGAAGCGCCGGCUAACUACGUG